rnacentral:misc_RNA from 1 species
AAGAAAGAGAGAGAGAGAGUGUAUGUGAGAAGAUCGCUCCAGGAUUCCACGCCGAACCGUGUCCUCGAGUCCUGUGAGGGGAGGUCUCACACGCAGCGACGUUUCGGAGCACUGAUCGGCGAUCGCUGGCGAACCGCAUUUACGUGUGGAAAUCGGUCCUCGUCCUGAUGUAAUGGAAAUCUGAUUUGUCCCCUGAUAUUUUCAAGUCAAGUGUAUAAUUUGCGCGUGCGCAGCUAACCAAACCACCGCUCCGCCAUUUUUGUCAACCGCGAAUGUUCGGCGCGAAAUCGCGCGUGAAUCUGGCUUCUUGUCGGAGAACCUGGUGAACGAACAUCGCGGAACAUCGCGUGCCUGCCAGUUACGCGAAAUAUGACGAAGAUCCACGCUCGAACUGUGCGCGGACUCGCGAUCGCGGAGUGAAAAGUGUAACUCGUGCUAUUCCUCCUGUGUUGUGUGAUCCUGUCGAUUGGACUCGAGUGAAGUCUUCUUCUACCACGAACUUUUACCGGCUGUGUGUGAAUCUACGCGAAGGACCUACUGCGGAUUGAUCGAGAAGAUCAUCGUGAGCGGAUCAGCUGCGGAGGAUGAACGGCGUGCAACGGACUCCAGUCGACGCCUUCGACGCCAAGGGCGUGCUCAUCACGGAUGUGGAAGAAGGGCAGCCCUGCUUGCAAUGCGGAGAAGCGUGUCCCGGAUUCUCGCCGCAUACAUGGAG